rnacentral:rRNA from 1 species
GGCCGCGGGAAUUCCAUUCAGGCCUAACACAUGCAAGUCGAACGGAAAGGCCCCCCUCUUGCUGGGGGUACUCGAGUGGCGAACGGGUGAGUAACACGUGGGUGAUCUGCCCUGCACUUCGGGAUAAGCUUGGGAAACUGGGUCUAAUACCGGAUAUGAACGGUCUUUGGUGUGAUUGUUGGAAAGAUUUUUUCGGUGUGGGAUGAGCUCGCGGCCUAUCAGCUUGUUGGUGGGGUAAUGGCCUACCAAGGCGUCGACGGGUAGCCGGCCUGAGAGGGUGUACGGCCACAUUGGGACUGAGAUACGGCCCAGAUUCCUACGGGAGGCAGCAGUGGGGAAUAUUGCACAAUGGGCGCAAGCCUGAUGCAGCGACGCCGCGUGGGGGAUGAAGGCCUUCGGGUUGUAAACUCCUUUCGCUAGGGACGAAGCCUUUUUUAAGGUGACGGUACCUGGAUAAGAAGCACCGGCUAACUACGUGCCAGCAGCCGCGGUAAUACGUAGGGUGCAAGCGUUGUCCGGAAUUACUGGGCGUAAAGAGCUCGUAGGUGGUUUGUCGCGUCGUCUGUGAAAUUCCGGGGCUUAACUCCGGGCGUGCAGGCGAUACGGGCAUAACUUGAGUGCUGUAGGGGAGACUGGAAUUCCUGGUGUAGCGGUGAAAUGCGCAGAUAUCAGGAGGAACACCGAUGG